UUGUUCCUUCCGAUCUAUGAAGAGUCAAAACCAAAUAAUUAAAUGGACUUUUGAAGCUCUGUACAUUUUUUUCUACUUCCCACCGCUCUUUCUUCUUCUUCUUCGAGUAAGAGGAUCCACAUUUCUAGAACUUAAAUUUAUUGUCUUUGCUAAUACGAAGAGAUUUUAUUUUUUCUUCUAAGUUUUAAUUCUUGUUUUAAAAGUUUUAAAAUAUGUUUAAAAAUAGGCUUUUCAUGGUUCUUAAAAAUGAUUACUUUCAAUUUCUCUCUCCAUGUUUAGGUUUGUAAAGAAUUUUAGUUUUUUUUUAUAAUAGGAAUUAUUUAAUGUUGCUUUUCAUACAUUUUUCUAUGCUUUAUGAACUUCGUUUUAGUGUUCAAUGAAAAAUAUUUUAUCUUUUAAGUUGUAUUGAAUUUUUAGGUUUGUUCAAUAUUUUGUUUGUUUGUGCUAUUUAGGAUUAUAUAUGUUUCGAAUAUUUCAACUCAAUGCCUUUCCAAUAUAUUUCAUCUUUUCUGAUUUUUUUUUGUGCUUAAUUUUGAAGCAGUUUAAAUGUGAAUCUUGCUGGGCUUUCAGCACUACAAGAUCAAUUGUUGGUGGAUUAGAGGAGGAAACUUGAUACCAUUACACCUAGACAAACUCUUGCCACUAUUGUAGGAGAUUUCAACCAACUAAGUAAUAUUUAUCCACUUUAUAAUAAUAAUCUACGUGACAAACUAUUAACUAUGUUUGUUUAUCUUCUAUUUUGUAUGACACUUAUAAACACAAAUUCUCAUUUCUUUUUUUCUUCUUUUUUUUUCUUUCAGGAAACACGAAAAAAUGAGAAUUUUUAUUGUCCUGUCAUAUUAUUGGACAAAAAAUAUCAAUUAUUCAUUCAUUUCAAACUAAAUAUUAAACGGAUACACUUUCAAAAAAAAUUGCAUUAUUGUUUGACUUCAGCCGCCCUUUCAGCCGCCCAUUGAAAGGGCGGCAGUGUCAAAAUAUAUGACAGUUGCUCAUUAAAUGGGCGGCAAUGUUGAAGAAAAAAGAAGUUCCGUCUAUUGAAUAAUCGGCAGUGUUAUAACGUUAUAUUUUUGAAUUAAAUUAAAACUGAAGUAAAUUUUAACUAGAAAUAAUAUAAUAUUAAUAAUUUUUAAUAAUGUUAAUUGUUUAUAGUUAUU
rnacentral:lncRNA from 1 species